GGCUUUUGAAGUGUUGGAAAUGAAACGGUGCAUUUUUUCUGAAAGAGGUGUAGCAUAACAGCGAAUGCAAAAGGCUGUCUUGAAAUUAACCCUAGAAAGGUAAUCUAACCCUGAUCUGAGGUAAAAUCAUUUAGGCAGGAAAUUCCUGAAAUUACACCAUCUUCUUGCAAUCCCCUCCGUCUCUAUUCACUAUCCUUAUUCAUUCUCCGCAUCCUUCACUUUCCUCUCUAGAAAGUAGAAAGGGCUGAUGGUCGCCAGAGAAUUCGGGUGGCGGCGAACAAGACUGCCGUGGACGAAAAGGUGCUGGAGAAAGAUUGUAUCGGUGAAGACUCUGUGAUCGUUGUUGAUGGUUCGUCUUUGGAAUUAGAAAUCGCGAAGAUUCGUGGAAGAUGGGAACUGGCAUCUGUUCUCAAUUUCUUGACCGUAAAAGUUCUGUUUUUGAUGCUCAAAUUGUGCUGUGUUAGAUAGCAUUUUGUAUUCUUUUAGACUAUUGGUUCUUAAUUCUUGGAGUGCGUUUUAUUGUUGAUUUUGUGCAUACAUGUUGAGAAAGGGAUUUUGGUUCCUAAAUUAAUUGUUAUUUGCCUUUCUAAACACCGAAACGUGCAGAGUUCUUGCAGGUUUAUGUGUGGUUUGGAAGUUGCAGAUUUUGCACUUGUUUUAUUCAUGAACUUGCAUACAUUGAUAGUGUUUACUCGUGUGGGAUUGAUUUGCAGCUCUUUGAGCCACUUAUGGGUAGUGAUUUGAAGUUAACGGCAGAGGAGAUCGAGAUUGGUCUUGUUACGCCCAACAGGUCGCUUACUCAACUUCACAUUAAGCUAUUGAAGGUUUCUGAUUCUUAUCAUUAUGAAUGGGGUGAUACUGUGUCUGGUUAUGUGCCUAGAUAUGUUUAUAAUCAUAUUGAUUGUUUUACAACCAUCUUAUAAACAUAAAUACUUUUGUAAAAUGAAUGAUCUGCUUGGUACUUCUGUUGUUUCGUUUUAAACUCUGGUAUAAUCUAUGCUUUCUGUCCACAGCAAAGUGAUGCUGUAUCAUAUAUUAAUGACUCUUUGAAAAAAGGAACUGAAAUGUCCUGUUUCCGCAAAGAUAAGAUUGGGGGAGAUGGAAAUGCAACCUCUUACUGGUAAUUCUCUAGAUGCUCUGUAUUUUAUGUGAUUUACUGCAUCAUUGUUUCACAUCAAUUGUGUGCAUAGGUGUGAUGGAAGUGCAGUUGUUGGCCAUAGAUUGUAUAAGGAAGUAAAGAAGAUUGAGACAAAGUCAAAAAAGAAGGGGAAAACAUCUAAUAAUCUACUGGCUAUCUCCCUUCAGUGGGAAACCAUAGCAACCAAUCUUAAGGAAUUUCGGGAAGUUGUGGUAAGUUAAAUAUUUUCUUUGUUUAACAACUGAGAAUUUUAAUUUACCUUGUUUCUUGCUGGUGAUGGCAGGAUAAACUUUCAUCUAGCAAGAUUGUGGGAUAAAUUGCUGUUGGCAAAACUAUUGAAACCAAAUUUCUCCCUGUUGUUGAGAAAUUUCAGAAUGUAUGCUUAUGGUUUCUUUUAUGAUUGUGUGAAUAUUUUUAGAUGCUAAUUACCUUUUGCUUUUAGUUUUCUAUUUACUCUGGUACCUAGUUUGUUCAUUUCAUUGCAUCUAAAUAUCUAAUAGAAGAAAGAAAGGGCACUCAAAAAAAGAGAGGUAAGAAAGGCUCCUGAAUGAUUUUAGAUCCUAUGAGACUGGGAUUACUCGUUCCGGCCGCAGUCGAAGGCCUGUUAGUUACAUAUUUGAUGAGUAUGAUCUUGUGAUUGAUGAGGCUUUAGAAAUAACAAAGAAAAGGAAGACAGAGCAAAGGAACGAGAAGAAGCAUAUUAAGCAGGAAAAAUUUCUGUCUGAUGGCGAUUCAGACACAGGUGCAGACUUGAAAGACAGUCAUAUGGAAAAUAGUGAUUCAGACAUGGGGACAGACUUAAAAGAUGAAAGUAUUGAAAAUGGUGAAUCCUCGGACAGUGAAUCUUAAAUUCAACAAAAUAAUACUGAUGAUGACGAUGGUGAUGAUGAUUAUGACGGCAAAAGCAGUAAUAAUGAUAAUGGCAAUGAAUCUGGCAAUUCUGGUGAGGAAAAGGACAUACUUUGUGACAGGAACUGUUCAGAAGCGUAUAGGUCACAAUGUAGUAAAAGGCUGGCUGGAGUUAUGAACCAUCCUGUUAUGGAAACGAGCAACUUGGCUACAAAGAAUAGGUUGAGGCAGAGACCCACUCGUAACUCUACACUUGAUUCUAUUGUUCCAGAUUCAGAGGAUGAAAAAUUGUCAGAAAACACAAAAGGUGAGACGUCUGAAGGCGAAGUUUUAUCACCUGAAGCUAAUUCAUAAGAGUCCAUUGAUGGUUAGUAACUUAUAAACUGAAGGAAAUUUUGGUGCACAUUUGAAAAUGUUGUGGAAAUAUAUUAUUCUAGUAGUCCAGACUGUAGUUGUGUUUUUGCUAUUUUUUUUGUCUUCUCUCUUUUCCUUUUC
rnacentral:misc_RNA from 1 species